AACGAACGCUGGCGGCAGGCCUAACACAUGCAAGUCGAGCGAGGUAGCGAUACCUAGCGGCGGACGGGUGAGUAACGCGUGGGAACGUACCCUUUGGUUCGGAAUAGCCCUGGGAAACUGGGAGUAAUACCGGAUACGGUCGAGAGACGAAAGAUUUAUCGCCGAAGGAUCGGCCCGCGUUGGAUUAGGUAGUUGGUGGGGUAAUGGCCUGCCAAGCCGACGAUCCAUAGCUGGUUUGAGAGGACGAUCAGACACACUGGAACUGAGACACGGUCCAGACUCCUACGGGAGGCAGCAGUGGGGAAUUUUCCGCAAUGGGCGAAAGCCUGACGGAGCAAUACCGCGUGAGGGAAGACUGCCUAUGGGUUGUAAACCUCUUUUUUCAGGGAGGAAUAAAAUGACGUGUACCUGAAGAAUAAGCAUCGGCUAACUCCGUG
rnacentral:rRNA from 1 species